CAGGAAUGAGAAAAUCUUGAAAAUUCCCUUAAGGGCUACGAAGUUCGUCUCGAAUAAUCUUAAUGCAAGUCAUUUUAGGCCUUGUUUAGUUCACCCCGAAAUCCAAAAAGUUUUCAAGAUUCCCUAUCACAUCAAAUCUUGCGGCACAUGCAUUAAACAUUAAAUAUAGACGAAAACAAAAACUAAUCAUACAGUUUGACUGUAAAUCGUGAGACGAAUCUUUUAACCCUAGUUAGUUUAUUAUUGGACAAUAUUUACCACAAACAAACGAAAGUGCUACAAUAGUGAAAUCCAAAAAAAUUUUCACAUCUAAACAAGGCCUUAGUAGGAAGAGUGCAUGUUGCGUAGAUUUCGAAGUGAUAUAAUACAAGUAUAGAACUCCCUAAUUGGGUCUUCACAUCCGUGAGAGGUCUUCUUUUUAAAGCACAAAGCUCCGAGGCUAGCUCCGAGGCUAUCUUGUCAUCUAAGGGUCAAUUUUUUUUUAGGGAGGAGGGCAGUGUUUGCAACGUCAAUGGUAAAUUAGAACAGUCAAACUUUAUUUUAUUUUAUUUUAUUUUUCAAAAUACUAACAGAUGGAUUGAAGGCUAUGUUUUCUAUGAAAUCUUAUAUAUCCUAAUUCAUACAUGACGAACAACUGCAUUUGAAGAGCUGGAGUCAAAAAACAAGAAAUACCCAAGAAACACUAGUAACAUUCUUAGUAUAUACUACUGUUAUGUGACAAAAGACAAAUCUUUUCUUAAGAAAAAUUGCAUCUUGCAGUAUAAUCAUGAGUCUAGAUAGAAACAAAAGAAUAAUGUAUUUG
rnacentral:lncRNA from 1 species